GGCAGUUCCUAAACCCACUGCUCGCCAGAGAACUACAAGUAAAAACUUAAAACUCAAAGGACUUGACGGCAUACCAUAUCACCCUAGAGGAGCCUGUCCUAUAAUCGAUAACCCACGCUACACCUCACCUGUUCUUGCACUAUGCUCAGCCUAUAUACCGCCGCCUUCAGCCCGCCUUACNAAAGCACNNNCAGCNAGCNNAACAGCCACCACUAACACGCCAGGUCAAGGUGUAGCCAACGAACAGGAAGAGAUGGGCUACAUUUUCUAACUUAGACAACACCGACCGCAACAUGAAACACCCGCCUAAAGGUGGAUUUAGAAGUAAGCCAGGCAAGAUAUGCCUGACUGAACCUAGCUCUGGAAUGCGUACACACCGCCCGUCACCCUCAUCAAACACAACAAAAAUUUAAAUAAGCAAAGAACUAAAAACACAGAUGAGACAAGUCGUAACAAGGUAAGUGCACUGGAAAGUGUACUUGGAAACACAAGAAGUAGCUUAACCAAAGCCUU
rnacentral:rRNA from 1 species